UUAAAUGACAGAGCUAAAUUUUUUCGGAUCUUCCCAUUUAUUGAAUGUAGGUCAUGGUUUAUGGUACAUGUAGCAAACAAAUUCUGAAUGUAAAACUGCCUCAGUGGUUCUGUGUUCGUUUCUCUCAAUGAAAAAUUUCUUAUUGGAGUAAAUAACUGAUUUUUAAUCAUGUUGUUCAGAGAUUGACUCUGUUAACUUCUGAUCUGCAGAUGAGAUAACAUAUGUGAACCUUCUACUGAACCCUGAACGUUACACUGGCUAUGCUGGUCCAUCAGCAAGAAGGAUAUGGGAUGCUGUUUAUUCUGAAAAUUGCCCAAAUUAUAGAAAACGGACACAUAUCUGGAGGAAGAUCCCUGCAAAGCUUUUCUUGAAGUAGAGGAAGAAAAGUACCUUGUAUUAUCUUGUAAACUCUUGUAUAAGAGCUUCAUUUCUUUUGUAACAUUCAUGAGAAAAAUCAAAAUGUAACAUUCCCUUUUCAAUA